ensembl:lncRNA
AGGGAGCAGAAGGCAGCUGGAGGAAGCAGAGAAUAUCCCCAUACGAAGAUCCCCCCCCCACACCUCCCCCUGCCAGCACACCAGGAACUGAGCACUCCAUUAGGAUGUCAGGAGGCACUGUGGUGAAGCAGACAAUACCGGGAGACCCGGAUUGUCUAAGCCACCUUCCUGCUGGCCUCAGGACCAGGAUCUCAGGGCCACUGCCCAAGGUCAGCACCAAGAGGAAUUUGUCCAGAAAGUCGCCACCAGGAUGUGCUGGACUAAUGGUUGUUUUGGUCUUUUCCCCCGAAAAAGGGAUACCUAUUUUUCCAAGGCAGUCCCUAACCUCUUAUUUCCCAAACCUCCCUUUAGAGGUUUAAAGAGGCCGCCCUAAGCUAGACUGCAAAGGUUUGGGUUCUAGACCUGGCAGGGUCGCUAAGUAGCCCAAGAAAGGCAACUUCUCGGGGAUUCACUUCCCUCCUCUAUAAAAUCAUCAGAUUGACCAGAUGCCCCAAAUGGUCCUGGCCAGCCAGCCUCAGGGUUCCAGGUUCCAGGUUCUAGAUUCUCUGGUUCUAUGACUUAGCUACUUCUUUGCCUGUACUCCUCUUUACUCUUCUACUUCUCCCCCCUCCCUCUUCAUACCUCACCCCAUCCCAGCUUGUUGUCCUCUAUGAGCUGGCCUAGCAGGUCAUACUCACCCUCUGGGCCCUCUACGAAGGGCCCAGAGAAGAUCCUAUGAGGAGGACCUCUAACCCGGGGACUUCCUUUUGGCAAGGAUCAUCUUCCCUGCUCUGGGCUCUCCAGGCUGACUCCUCUCCCUUUGCCCGAAGGGGCAAGUUCAAGUUCAUUGUGAUUCAUCCCUCUCCCCACUACCCCAAAGGCAAGAAAACAUGGAUUGGAUACAGAGUGAGGAGGGCACCGGGCAAAGUGACCACUAAUACAACACAUCUCAGUUGCAGCCUUCUGGACAAAUGCCUCUUAGCCUUGGCUCUGGGCAGAGGCCCCCAGAGAUGUUGCUCCUGAAGAUUGCAGGAAAAUAUGAAUUACAGCACAAACUGCAUGAACUUCAUGAAUCCGGAGCUGCAGUACAAGCCAGACCACUAGAUUUUUCUCUUCAUGACCUGAAACCAGGAGAUAAAGUAUAUAUUAAGAAUUUUAAGCAAACUGGAGCAACUCAGCCUUCAUGGUAAGGACCAUUCCAAAUAUUGUUAACUACUCCAACAUCUAUAAAGGUUGGAGAGAAGGACUCUUGAAUUCAUUGCUCACAUGUGAAGAAAGCAUCUUCUGUUGGGACUGAUUGAUUAUACCCUAUCAUAUGCAUUGGAGAUAAUAAUCCAUUGGAAAGUGGAUGCUGUUUUUUGAGAAUACCUUGAAUUACUGAUUUUCCCCCUUAUUUAUUAUUGCUUUUCUUUUAUUUUGAUUAGAAUAAUUGAUUUUUUCUCAUUUCUUAUACUAAAGGUACAUAUAAUUAAUAUUAUUUUUCUGCAGUAAUAGAAGUUUUAUAUAUAUAUAUGUGUAUAUAUAUAUAUAUAUAUUCUUGCUAUAAUAUCAAUGCAUAACCAAAAGCUUUAAACUAUGGGAACCUGCCAUUUAUAGAUAAAAUGUUAUGGGACUGUGAUUAAUGUUUAUGUGUGAUUCCAGAAAAAGGGAUAAAAAACAAGGAACACAUACUUAACCUGAACAGUGCCAAAAAGAGCACACAGGAAAUACUAAUGUGAGACUCGAGGUUGCGACACUUGACAUAUGUUAAGUCGUAGGACUUCCUUGUAUCUACACUCUUUGUGAAGUACUCAUACAAGUACAAAAUUCAACUAUCAUGUUGGCUCCCUAUAUCCCUGAGAAUGAAAAAAAAAACAGACGAGGGAAUGACACUUCCCUAUCAAAAUAGAAUUCUAGUUCCUUUCCUUCUUAUAUUAUGGCAACUUCCUGUAGUCUUGGCUGCAAAUGGGUAAGUGAAAUAUUACUGCAUUCUGUCCUACAGACUUGUGGGAUAGAAAUUACUUUAAAUUGGACCUAUACAAGGGCCUAUUUUGAAUUUUUUUCCUUAUGUUUUUGGUUGUGUUUUUCUCUUCUUUUGAUAGUUGACUCAUACACCCCCAUAACUCAACAUUGCAUCCUGAGCUGAACUGGAUUUUUUUAACACCCACUUCAGGGGGGAUUGUAUUUUAAUUUAAAAUCCAAGAUUUUUUAUCUUUUGUUUGAGAUUGUAUUCUUUAAAAAUCCAAGAUUUUGAUUUUGUUUGAGAAAAAGAUCUUCAAGGAAGAAGCUUGCUAACUCCUAAAUCCAGAGAACGAACUGUUGCAUAAAGAUGCGAGAAAACCUACACUACAUCAAGAAGAUCAAGAAUAAACUUUGGGUGUGGUUGAUUGAACUGAAGUUU